rnacentral:snRNA from 1 species
ACCCACGCAGUGAGCACAAAGUGAACUAUUCUUUCGCCUUUUACUAAAGAAUACCGUGUGUGCAUUGCAUUUAGUGGCAUACACCAAUUUUUGGAGGAGUUCUCAUUUCUUGAGAGCC